GAUGAACGCUGGCGGCGUGCUUAACACAUGCAAGUCGAACGAAGCAUUUAAGACAGAUUACUUCGGUUUGAAGUCUUUUAUGACUGAGUGGCGGACGGGUGAGUAACGCGUGGGUAACCUGCCUCAUACAGGGGGAUAGCAGCUGGAAACGGCUGGUAAUACCGCAUAAGCGCACAGUUCCACAUGGUACAGUGUGAAAAACUCCGGUGGUAUGAGAUGGACCCGCGUCUGAUUAGCUUGUUGGCGGGGUAACGGCCCACCAAGGCGACGAUCAGUAGCCGACCUGAGAGGGUGACCGGCCACAUUGGGACUGAGACACGGCCCAGACUCCUACGGGAGGCAGCAGUGGGGAAUAUUGCACAAUGGAGGAAACUCUGAUGCAGCGACGCCGCGUGAGUGAAGAAGUAGUUCGCUAUGUAAAGCUCUAUCAGCAGGGAAGAUAGUGACGGUACCUGACUAAGAAGCUCCGGCUAAAUACGUG
rnacentral:rRNA from 1 species